rnacentral:rRNA from 1 species
AACGAACGCUGGCGGCAGGCCUAACACAUGCAAGUCGAGCGAGGACUUCGGUCCUAGCGGCGGACGGGUGAGUAACGCGUGGGAACGUGCCCUUUGCUUCGGAAUAGCCCUGGGAAACUGGGAGUAAUACCGGAUGAGCCCUUUGGGGGAAAGAUUUAUCGGCGAAGGAUCGGCCCGCGUUGGAUUAGGUAGUUGGUGGGGUAAUGGCCUACCAAGCCGACGAUCCAUAGCUGGUUUGAGAGGAUGAUCAGCCACACUGGGACUGAGACACGGCCCAGACUCCUACGGGAGGCAGCAGUGGGGAAUCUUAGACAAUGGGGGAAACCCUGAUCGAGCCAUGCCGCGUGAGCGAUGAAGGCCUUAGGGUUGUAAAGCUCUUUCAGCUGGGAAGAUAAUGACGGUACCGGCAGAAGAAGCCCCGGCUAACUCCGUG